rnacentral:rRNA from 1 species
UACAGAGGUCUCAAGCGUUGUUCGGAUUCAUUGGGCGUAAAGGGUGCGUAGGCGGCGCGGUAAGUCGGGUGUGAAAUCCCUCAGCUUAACUGGGGAACUGCGUCCGAUACUGGAUGGCUUGAGUUUGGGAGAGGGAUGCGGAAUUCCAGGUGUAGCGGUGAAAUGCGUAGAUAUCUGGAGGAACACCGGUGGCGAAGGCGGCAUCCUGGACCAACACUGACACUGAGGAGCGAAAGCCAGGGGAGCAAACGGG